rnacentral:antisense_RNA from 1 species
CGGCGCAGGCCGUGGCGGCCACCACGGCAGCGCCUAACCACCAACCACGUUGCAAAGGAGCGUGAUUCAUGGCUUU